rnacentral:lncRNA from 1 species
CUUUGUUAUCCCCCGAAAGUUGAAGCUCAUGGACUAUGGUAUUCAGCAAGGCCUUGCAGCGUUUGUGAUUACUGCUGCUUCCAGUCGCAGCUGAACACAGACAAGUCUUUUUCAUCUGACAAUGUUUAUCAAAAUACUAAUGUUAUGGGUUUCUACGACACCGGAACCAGACAGAUCUUCUUUAUCUGGAAUUUGACCACAAAUCUGACAUAUCUUUGA